rnacentral:rRNA from 1 species
AGCUCCAAUAGCGUAUACUAAAGUUGUUGCAGUUAAAAAGCUCGUAGUUGAAUUUCUGGUCUUGGAUUUCGGUCUGCCUCAAACGAGGUAUGUACCAGGGAUCUGAGACCAUCCUCGAGGAAAACAUGUCUGUCAUUCAGUUAAUGGGCAUGGGAUCCUCGUCAUUUACUGUGAGCAAAAUAGGGUGUUCAAAGCAGGCUUAUGCCGUUGAAUACAUUAGCAUGGAAUAAUAAGAUAAGACCUUGGUCUAUUUUGUUGGUUUGUACUCCAAGGUAAUGAUUAAUAGGGAUAGUUGGGGGUAUUCGUAUUCAAUUGUCAGAGGUGAAAUUCUUGGAUUUAUGGAAGACGAACUACUGCGAAAGCAUUUACCAAGGAUGUUUUCA